AGAUUUAUAAGCCUUUGUUCUACUUUUGCAAAUGGGUUUGAGUUGGUUUGUGUUUAAAAAUAGACUUGGUGCUCACAAGACAAUUGCCGCCAAUUAGUAUGUGUUGCCAGGAUGUAAACUUGACCACAUGACUUUAAAUGCGUGGACUGUCCCCAGAGCCCUUAAGAGCUCUACACCUUGGAGAUGCCUAACAAGACAAACACUCUUUACUCUUAUAGGUUCCCUUUUAGGAAUAAAGGUUAGAAAUACUUGGCUUGAACAGUAAAAAACUUCUCUUGAAGUGUAUACACGUGGGAUGACUUUGGUCCAGAACCACCAUCACGUCUGAAGCAGAAGCGUGCAGUUAUUUUGAUUUAAAAAAAAAUCCAAUGUUAAUGAAUUUUAAACAUAUAGACUUUUAUUUUAUUUUUUUUUAAAAAAAAGAACAUUCUAUGUGUGCACUACAUUUUUUCAUGGUCUGGGUGUAAGUAGUAGUGUAAUCAGUUGGCUUUCAUCUAAAUUAGCACAGCGUAUCACUUUGUGUUGCUGAUUACUGUUUGCAUCACCAGACUAAAUAAAUAUGCAUGUUGUUAUAUCAGGUAGUCUCCGUUAGUGUCUCUGUAAUUAAUCUAAGUGAGUCAAGCUCGGCUGGGAAUGUACAAGGAUGUUUAGCUUCCAGCUAAGGUCAGGGAUCUCGUCUUAUGGCUAAUUUCCUAUCCGCUGUAGCCAUUAGCAUUUCCACCCAUCCUUUGUAUGUCACCCUGUAAUGUGUUUAGAGAAUGCUGUUAUUAUAGAAUAACUAUUCUAUUCUGCAAACCUCACAAGAGGAGUGACUGCCUCAAUUAGAUUUGAGACAUUAGAUUCAGUCUCAGGCGACAAUGAUUUCGUUUACAACAUUAACACAUUCCGUUGACAGACAACUAAAACUAGAGUUCAGAUUAUUUUAUUAGAUUUUAGAAAGAUUUUAUUUCAAUCUAUGUUGUAAUUCAAGUAGCUAUGUAGCCAGUCUUUCAAUUCAGGGAACACGUGUUUCUGCUUUUUUCAAAAUAGGCUGACUUCAUAUUUGCAUUGCUCCACAAGAGUGAGAGAUCACUUAAUUCUAAGUCCUGCCCUGUAAUAGUCCACUCAUUUUAAUCUCCUUUUUGAAUUUGUAAAUUAUAUUGAAUUAAGACUUCACGUGUUCUCAGUGUCUUCUUUUAUGUAUAUGUGUUUCUAUUUGUUACCAUGGAUACAUGGCAUGGAGCCUUAUGUUUCCGACUGGCUGAAAAAAAAAACCUUCUUCCCACCAGGAAGCCAACAGCUGCUGCUCUUCUUUAGCUGCCACAGAGAAGCAAGAUGAUUUGCUGAGCAUUAGAUUUCAAGAUAAUUCUGAAGAAGGAAUUCUGACAAUAGGAAGGAAGUUUUUCAAAUUAGGAAAAUUAUUACUGACAGAAAGCUAACAGGGAGGUCAAGACUCUGCUCUAUUCAAUCAUGUUUAAGUUUAGAAGUAUAUUGGAGACAAAUGAACCUUAGCUGCACCUAUACCGCCGUUUUCAUUUCAAUUGAUCUGCAGCUUAUACAGUAAUUUGAUUUUACACAGUGUGAGUGCAUUAAUACCACAAUGUGGCUUAAAUUAGGGAUAACUCAACUUGUUGUCAACUUGUUUUCCAUGUCCUAUUCCUUGUCAGGUCAUCCCUGUAAAGACAUAGGUGUGGCAGUAGUGACAUUUUAGAGAAGUCAGUAGUAUCAACGCUGAAGUCAGUGAAAUAUUUACCUGAUUGGUAAAUAUAAUGGAGAGGAAAUGAAAUCAUUCAAACUGUACAGAACAAAAUGUAAGGAAGUAAAAGAAGGUAACUGCAUUAUUUUAUGUAUGAUCUUGGUAAGGUUUUUGAUAAUUCUCCAUUUUCAGGCGUGUAAAACCCUGAGCUGUUGUGGUAAAGAGCUUCUUCAGGACCAAUUGUGCAAUUUAAAACAGAAAAGGAUUGGCCUAGAAAAGCCCUAAUAUUGAUUAGUUUAACCAGCAAACAAAGGAGAAGUCGGGGCUUUGUGUGGUCACCUAGCAGUGGGAUAGGUUUAGUCAAUGCUUCAUCUUUGUCAUCUUAAUGGUUUCAGGCAGCUGUUGAUGUGCUCUUAAUUGCAUGUUUGACAUUACAUGAGACUCAGAAGAGAAUGACCAGCGAUGCCUGAGUGAGUCUGAUAAUAGCCUGGAGAAAAAGAGAGAGUAGCAUGAGAUAAAAGAUAAGAGGAGGACGAAGAGCCAUGUACUGGCUAAGAAAGAAGAGAGUGCUAAAGCAUGCUUUGUGUUGAGAUUAGUUUUCUCUGGAGUCGCUGAUGUGCACUGCUUUGAAAUGUGUGCAUUUGCCUGGGCGUGUUGGUGUGUCUGCAACAACAUAUCUAGGGCAGCGUUAGAUGCGGCAGCCAUUAGAAGUGAUAGUGUCACCCUAACCUUCUCAUUUUCUUGUGACACACUCGCAGGCGUCUCAUACACUCAACCAUGCUGCAUGUGAACACUCAGACAUUACACAGUCAUCCAGCAUCGGCUGCAUAUAAAUAUCACAUUUAAAUGCAUGUUGCUGUGGGCGCACUCAUUCACAGAGGGUUGUUCACAGAGGAGGGGUGAAACUCCCUUGGUGUAGACACACAUAGUGGUGCAUGUAACAAGACUACUCUGACUAAAACCCAAAACUCCUUAUCACACCAGUAAGUAGAAGAUACAAAUGUAUUUUGUCAUCACCAAAAUAAACAACCUAACAAAACAAACACUACUCCAUGAAUUGUUUUUUUUUUGGUAUUUUAAAUCAAAGUGACCAAGAUUACCCUAAAAAGAUAACAAAUAGUUGUCUUUUUAGGGCAGUCAAGUCAAUUGUAUGCAGCAAAUAUCCAGAGCAGGAUUGUCCAACUUACUUUUGACGCUGUCAUUUCACUAGGGUGCGCUGUUUGUUUGUUUAAUCCAAUGUAUACUGUAUAUUACAACAUUGAGUAUGACAUGUAGUUGCAGGCCUGAUUUUGAGACCCUUGAUCUAAACUGUGUUUUAAAAAUGCCAUGUUUCAGUUAGUGAUAACAAAUAGCCAAAAUUAGAAGCCCAACUUAAGCUACACAACACAAACUAAUUCAAGGAAAAUAUAGGUAGUUAAUUUGUAGCCUGUUAUAAUAACGUAUUGCUGUUGAGAAGCUAUCACUUGCCAUUAUGUUUUAAAAUAAAAAAAACCCGUGUAUAUAUAUUUAUUUAUAUACAUAUAAAGUUGAUAUAGUUGAUAUCAACGGAUACAGUUAAUAUAGAAAUAGCUAUACCUAUUUAAAUAACCUAAGUGUUGAGACCAGCUAAGAGCAAAAACUUGAAAAAUUUAAACUUUGAUCUUGUUUGAACUGCACCAGUUGAAGGUGUGUGAUGUAAAUCUUAUGAUGUGUGUAUAUGAGAGAGAGACACGCACACAGAGAUGCUAGCACAUACACUAUGUUACCUAUCAACUAAUCUCAAAAGACACAGAGGUACUAUAUGAAUAUUUAUUAGUGACGUUACUUAACUUGUCUUGGAGGCAGUUUAUUUUAGUCUCUGUUAGGCCCAUAUUCAGCUGCGUGACAGAAUUAUAAAAUGGAUGCACUAUGUGCUGCCGUGUGAAGUAUAAUUACUAUGAAACAUCUCUCUUUGCUGUUGGUCUGCUGUGGGGUUUUUUAACGUGCUGCUGGCACUGGUUGCAGUCUCCAUUCAUUUUAUCACAUGAUAAUCUUCUAUUUUCCUUGCCCACUUAUUUCUACUCCUGCUUUUUUGAACCGACACUUUGCUAGAAAUGUUUUUGGAUAUGGCUUUGCUUGACUUUUUGACUUGCUCAGUGAUUGCUGAAUGAAGCCAUGACCUCAGCUGGAGCUUGGACCAGUUAAUGGUGUGUAGAAAGUAGAUGUACGUAUAUAAGAAAUGGAUGUUUAAUUACGUUUUGGAUACAAUGGUUCUUUUUGAAAAUCUUUGCACAUGUUUAUUGAAUUCCUGUGUUCUCUACACUCUUUUCUCUGCAUAUCUCAUUUUGAAACAAGUUUUCUCUGUAAAAUUGUCAUUCACUGAGGAAAAAAAAGGUUUUGACAAAUGAGGACUUUGUUCCUUAAUAUAUGUUAAGCUUUUCAAACUUUAAAUCCUUCUUUAUAUGUGCAUUGCUUAACAGUUUUUCCUACAUGUUUGAGCUAUAUAGUACUUCCACUGGCAAAUGUAGUUUAACUCCACCUGGACAGCCCAGCUGAUUUCUCAGCAUCAUUACUCGUGUAUGGCAGCAUGUGUUUAUUGUAUUUACACUCUCAGGAUAAUCUGCACCAGUAGCUUUCAUAGGUUUCCUGGUGCUGAUAGAUGUACUUCUAUGUCUACUGGCACUCACAUAGUCCCAGCAACAAGGUCCGGACGGACUGGAAGGUCUGUUAGUCAGUGUUGUUUUAUUAUAUUUAUUUUUACAACCACUAUACCUCUUUAUUUUCUACACUAAAAAAAGAAAAUCUUUUAAGUUUCCUUGAAUCUACUCGCUGGAGAUUUUGCAAAGUUUCUCCACAGAUGUGAACUCACACUGUGGAGAGAUGUUUUCUUCUUCUAUCCAGCGAUGUUCUGGGAAGGCUCACAGCUGAGUCCACACAGAUCACUGCAGGUUCUCUGUCCCUCCCACAAGUCCUAUGUUUAUUACAUGGCAGGACGUUAACCAACAUAAUUACCUGUUUGAACUCAGAUUGCAGUAAUUUCACACAAUUUCAUUGGAUUGAACUCUGUAUUUGAUGUGUCACAUUAAGUCUCCUUAGUUUCCCCUAACACUUAAAAUCAACAUGUCAGAAUGGAUGAAAACAUUAGAGAAGAAAUCAGUGGUCAAGGGGGAUCAUUAGUUUUGAUUAUUUUGAUGUUGAGAAAAAAUAAAACCCACAAACACUAGGAAAAUGUUGCUGUGUCCGAAAUUAUAAUUACAAACCUAUAAACAUUUUCGCAUAAGUAAAAUCAUGUAUUACUUCACCUUUGUCUUAAUACAAGGGUGAGAAAGAGUCUCCUUGAAUUUGCGUUAUAUUACUGAACCUCUCCCAGACGGGUUGGACUUCUAUCAAUACCCUUGGGCUUGUGACACCAAGUGAAACCACAGAUGAUGUUUCCUCUUCAUUGCGGCUCACCUCCUCAUUGUGUUCCUCUUGUUUCAUGGACACUGAUGUAACAGCGUGGCAGCCGCACAGGUGUUAUGUUACUGCUUCAGAUACGCAAAUUACAGACACACCUGCUGCCAGCGUGGAACUCUGCUGGACCCUGUUUUUCUUCAUCAGUGUUGUUGCAUUAUUUUAUUAAGAAAAAGCAAGACAUUAUUUUUGUUUACUCUAUGAUUUAGUGAUUGGACAAUGUAGAGAUUAAACAGCAGAGAAGGAUAGUUCA